rnacentral:rRNA from 1 species
GCGUGAAUCUGCCGGGACCAUCCGGUAAGGCUAAAUACUCCCGAGAGACCGAUAGCGAACCAGUACCGUGAGGGAAAGGUGAAAAGCACUUCGAACAGAAGAGUGAAAUAGUUCCUGAAACCGUGCGCCUACAAGCGGUCGGAGCUCGUUAAUGAGUGACGGCGUGCCUUUUGCAUAAUGAACCUACGAGUUGCCUUUGCCGGCAAGGUUAAGUGUGACGACACACGUAUCCGAAGCGAAAGCGAGUCUGAACAGGGCGUAUAGUCGGCAGUGGCAGACGCGAAACCAAGUGAUCUACCCUUGGCCAGGUUGAAGGCUGGGUAACACCAGCUGGAGGACCGCACCAAUAAGCGUUGAAAAGCUUCUGGAUGAGCUGAGGGUAGGGGUGAAAGGCUAAUCAAACUUGGAGAUAGCUCGUACUCCCCGAAAUGCAUUUAGGUGCAGCCUUGCGGGUUACUGAUGUGAGGUAGAGCGACUGAUAAGAUGCGAGGGCUUCACCGCCUAUCAAGUCUUGACAAACUCCGAAUGCGCAUCAGUUCUACCGCAGGAGUGAGGGCAUGGGUGCUAAGGUCCGUGCCCGAGAGGAGAAGAAUCCGGACCACCUGCUAAGGUCCCGAAAUGACAGCUAAGUUAAACUAACGAAGUCUGACUGCUAAGACAGCUAGGAUGUUGGCUUGGAAGCAGCCAUUCAUUUAAAGAGUGCGUAACAGCUCACUAGUCGAGGAGUCGGGCGUGGAUAAUAAUCGGGUAUUAAGUUGUCUACCGAAGCAGUGGGAUCAUUAAUAUGAUCGGUAGGGGAGCAUUCCAGUCAGCGUCGAAGGCGUACCGUGAGGUAUUCUGGAGCGUCUGGAAAAGCAAAUGUAGGUAUAAGUAACGAUAAAGGGGGCGGGAAACCCCCUCGCCGAAAGACUAAGGUUUCCUGAUCAACGCUAAUCGGAUCAGGGUCAGUCGGGUCCUAAGGCUCAGCCGAACGGCGAUGCCGAUGGCAGAAACGGUUAAUAUUCCGUUACUACCUUCAGGAGUGACGUGGAGACGCAGUAGUGACAGUGCCGCCAUCUGACGGAAUAGAUGGUUGAAGGGUGUAGGAGUCGAUCAUGGCAGGCAAAUCCACCAUGAGAUCCGAACCUGACAGUAUGCCGCGUCCUUCGGGACAAGGCAAUAGUGCGCGUAAGCAUGCUGCCGAGAAAAUCCGCUAAACUUAAUCCUGCAGGUACCCGUACCGCAAACGGACACACGUAGUCGGGUUGAAUAUACUAAGGCGCUUGAGUGAUUCACGGUUAAGGAACUAGGCAAACUGACCCUGUAACUUCGGGAUAAAGGGUCCCUACCCUUUUAUGGGAGGGCGCAGAGAAUCGGUCCAGGCAACUGUUUAACAAAAACACAGGGCUGUGCCAAAUCGAAAGAUCCAGUAUACAGCCUGACACCUGCCCGGUGCUGGAAGGUUAAGAGGAGAUGUCAUCGAUAAGAGAAGCGUUGAAUUGAAGCCCCAGUAAACGGCGGCCGUAACUAUAACGGUCCUAAGGUAGCGAAAUUCCUUGUCGGGUAAGUUCCGACCUGCACGAAUGGUGUAAUGAUCCGGACGCUGUCUCAACCAUGAGCUCAGUGAAAUUGUAGUAUCGGUGAAGAUGCCGAUUACCCGCGAUGGGACGAAAAGACCCCGUGAACCUUUACUAUAGCUUAUCAUUGAAUCUGGGCACGUGAUGUGUAGGAUAGGUCGGAGGCUUUGAAGCAGGUACGCCAGUAUUUGUGGAGCCGCUGUUGAAAUACGACCCUUUAUUUGUUUGGAUUCUAACCCGUGGAUACGGGGACAUUGAUUGGUGGGUAGUUUGACUGGGGUGGUCGCCUCCAAAAGCGUAACGGAGGCUUCUAAAGGUGCCCUCACGACGAUUGGUAACCGUCGGCAGAGUGUAAUGGCAUAAGGGCGCUUGACUGGGAGACUUACAAGUCGAUCAGGUAGGAAACUAGAGCAUAGUGAUCCGGUGUUUCUGUAUGGAAAGGACAUCGCUCAAAGGAUAAAAGGUACUCCGGGGAUAACAGGCUGAUCCCUCCCA